rnacentral:rRNA from 1 species
CAGCCGCCGCGGGAAAACGAGGGGUGCAAGCGUUAAUCGGAAUUACUGGGCGUAAAGCGUGCGUAGGCGGUGAGUUAAGUCUGCUGUGAAAUCCCCGGGCUCAACCUGGGAAUGGCAGUGGAUACUGGCUCGCUAGAGUGUGUCAGAGGAUGGUGGAAUUCCCGGUGUAGCAGUGAAAUGCGUAGAGAUCGGAAGGAACAUCUGUGGCGAAGGCGACUAUCUGGGCCAACACUGACACUGAGGCACGAAAGCGUGGGGAGCAAACAGGAUUAGAUACCCGGGUAGUCCCUGUCUCUUAUAC